GAUGAACGCUGGCGGCGUGCCUAACACAUGCCAGUCGAGCGAACAGACGAGGCUCUUGCUCCUUUGACGUGAGCGGCGGACGGGUGAGUAACACGUGUCUACCCUACCUAUAAGACUGGGAUAACUUCGGGAAACCGGAUCUAAUACCGGAUAACAUGUUGAACCGCAGGGUUCAUCAGUGAAAGCCGUUCUUGCUGUCCCUAAUAGAUGGAUCCUCGCCGCAUUAGCUAGUUGGUAAGGUAACGGCUUACCAAGGCGACGAUGCGUAGCCGACCUGAGAGGGUGAUCGGCCACACUGGAACUGAGACACGGUCCAGACUCCUACGGGAGGCAGCAGUAGGGAAUCUUCCGCAAUGGGCGAAAGCCUGACGGAGCAACGCCGCGUGAGUGAAGAAGGUCUUCGGAUCGUAAAGCUCUGUUAUUAGGGAAGAACAAAUGUGUAAGUAACUAUGGACGUCUUGACGGUACCUACUCAGAAAGCAACGGCUAACUACGUG
rnacentral:rRNA from 1 species